UACAGAGGUCUCAAGCGUUGUUCGGAUUCAUUGGGCGUAAAGGGUGCGUAGGCGGCGCGGUAAGUCGGGUGUGAAAUUUCGAGGCUUAACUUCGAAACUGCAUUCGAUACUGCCGUGCUCGAGGACUGGAGAGGAGACUGGAAUUUACGGUGUAGCGGUGAAAAUGCGUAGAUAUCGUAAGGAAGACCAGUGGCGAAGGCGGGUCUCGUGGACAGUUCCUGACCGCUGAGG
rnacentral:rRNA from 1 species